rnacentral:rRNA from 1 species
GAUGAACGCUGGCGGCGUGCCUAAUCCAUGCAAGUCGAACGGAGUAUCAGCAAUGGUGCUUAGUGGCGAACGGGUGAGUAACGCGUUGGUGACCUGCCCCGAAGCGGGGGAUAACAGACCGAAAGGUCUGCUAAUACCGCGUAAUCUGCGCUUCGUUAGAGAGAGCGUAGGAAAGCCGAAAGGCGCUUUGGGAGGGGCCUGCGUCCCAUCAGCUAGUUGGUAAGGUAACGGCUUACCAAGGCGAUGACGGGUAGGGGACCUGAGAGGGUGGCCCCCCACAAUGGAACUGAAACACGGUCCAUACACCUACGGGUGGCAG